rnacentral:rRNA from 1 species
AUUGAACGCUGGCGGAAUGCUUUACACAUGCAAGUCGAACGGCAGCACGGGGCAACCUGGUGGCGAGUGGCGAACGGGUGAGUAAUACAUCGGAACGUGCCCAAUCGUGGGGGAUAACGUAGCGAAAGUUACGCUAAUACCGCAUACGAUCUACGGAUGAAAGCGGGGGAUCGCAAGACCUCGCGCGAAUGGAGCGGCCGAUGUCAGAUUAGGUAGUUGGUGGGGUAAAGGCUCACCAAGCCGACGAUCUGUAGCUGGUCUGAGAGGACGACCAGCCACACUGGGACUGAGACACGGCCCAGACGCCUACGGGAGGCAGCAGUGGGGAAUUUUGGACAAUGGGCGCAAGCCUGAUCCAGCCAUUCCGCGUGCAGGAUGAAGGCCUUCGGGUUGUAAACUGCUUUUGUACGGAACGAAACGGUUCUCUCUAAUACAGGGGGCUAAUGACGGUACCGUAAGAAUAAGCACCGGCUAACUACGUGCCAGCAGCCGCCGUAAGAC